AGCACUACUGCUGGGUCAUAUGGUAAGAAUAUGCAUAGCUUUGUAAGAAACCACCAGACUGCUUCCCAAAGUGGCUGUGCCAUUUUGCAUUUCCACUAGCAAU
rnacentral:pre_miRNA from 1 species